rnacentral:rRNA from 1 species
UACGGAGGGUGCAAACGUUGCUCGGAAUCACUGGGCGUAAAGCGCACGUAGGCGGGUGGGGAAGGCGGAUGUGAAAGCCCCGGGCUUAACCUGGGAAGUGCAUUCGAAACUGCCGACCUUGAGUUCGGGAGAGGAUCGCGGAAUUCCCGGUGUAGAGGUGAAAUUCGUAGAUAUCGGGAGGAACACCAGUGGCGAAGGCGGCGAUCUGGACCGACACUGACGCUGAGGUGCGAAAGCGUGGGGAGCAAACAGG